rnacentral:sRNA from 1 species
UUUUUUUUGUGUUUUUGUUU